UACGUAGGGGGCAAGCGUUGUCCGGAAUCAUUGGGCGUAAAGCGCGUGUAGGCGGCUCGAUAAGUCUGCUGUGAAAGUCCAGGGCUCAACCCUGGGAUGCCGGUGGAUACUGUCGAGCUCGAGUCCGGAAGAGGCGAGUGGAAUUCCUGGUGUAGCGGUGAAAUGCGCAGAUAUCAGGAGGAACACCAAUAGCGAAGGCAGCUCGCUGGGACGUUACUGACACUAAGGCGCGAAAGCGUGGGGAGCGAACAGG
rnacentral:rRNA from 1 species